rnacentral:lncRNA from 1 species
UUGAAGACGAAAAGGCCCAUGCUAGCAGGAGGCACAAGAAGAGAUUAUAUAUGCAAAUAAUUCUGUAGCUCUUGUACCAGGAGAGGGUUUGUCUUGUAAUAUUUCUUUGAAGACACACAUAGAAAUCUUUGAUUGGUCUACAAAAAGCAAAAUUGUGAGGCUAAAAAGAAGAGGGAGAAAGAGAAAGAAUAUUUGAAAAGAGUAUGCAAAGCUAUGAUAAAAAGUCGGAAGAUGGAUGACAACUGCAGCAUCUUUUUUUUUUUUUUUGAGAGCUAAGAAUAGUGGGGAUGAGGGGGUGGGUAAGGCAUGCAAAGCAAUUUGGAGAAGCAAGGGAAAGAAGCAGACACCGAGGGAGAAUUUUAAAGACUUCAAAGAGCCCGAGUGGACUACCACAUCCCUGUAGCUGGCAGUCCUAUAGCUGGCGGUCCUACUUGUCCAGUAAGCUUCCAAACAUUGGCUCCUCUCUGAAAAGGUCACCCUGCUUUUCAGACAGAAUUUGUGACUCUCGGCAGCUGGGAAUACUUUGGAACUGAAGAGAACCUAUUAGGAGAGAGAAAAAACAGAGUCAUGAUUAAGCAAAAAAAAAAUGGAGAAAAGAUUCACCUCUAAAUUUUAUUUAAUGACAACAAAAACACACAACAUUUCUCUUUGAUUCAUAACGUUAAUAAAUUCUACUUAUCGUUUGCAAUAAUUCCAAGGUGUUCUAAAGACAUCUUUAUAUUAGAAAAGAGUUCCAUAUUAGUUUGAAUUACUUCAGGAAAGAAAUGCCCUAUUCCACCACUACAAGUUAUGGGGAAAUCUAUAGCAGAACAUUUUGUACUCUCACUAAUGAAGAAAGAACCCAGUAAGGAUUGCUGUAUUUUGGAGA